AACGAACGCUGGCGGCAUGCCUAACACAUGCAAGUCGAACGAGACCUUCGAGUCUAGUGGCGCACGGGUGCGUAACGCGUGGGAACCUGCCCUUAGGUUCGGAAUAACUCCCCGAAAGGGGUGCUAAUACCGGAUAAUGUCUUCGGACCAAAGAUUUAUCGCCUUUGGAUGGGCCCGCGUUGGAUUAGCUAGUUGGUAGGGUAAAAGCCUACCAAGGCGACGAUCCAUAGCUGGUCUGAGAGGAUGAUCAGCUACACUGGGACUGAGACACGGCCCAGACUCCUACGGGAGGCAGCAGUGGGGAAUAUUGGACAAUGGGCGAAAGCCUGAUCCAGCAAUGCCGCGUGAGUGAUGAAGGCCUUAGGGUUGUAAAGCUCUUUUACCCGGGAUGAUAAUGACAGUACCGGGAGAAUAAGCUCCGGCUAACUCCGUG
rnacentral:rRNA from 1 species